rnacentral:misc_RNA from 1 species
GUAUUUAGAAUUAUGUUAUUCAAAAUAGCUUCAGACAAAAAAUUUCAAUAAAGGGUUGGUAUUAUACUGCCAAGAACGCGCAAAAACGCGAACUCGUCAGCAAACAUUGCACACAAGGUGAAUACUGAUUUUUAAAAAGUGCAGUAAAACACUUAUUAUGAAUGAUCCUUCCGCAGGUUCACCUACGGAAA